rnacentral:rRNA from 1 species
UACGUAGGGUGCAAGCGUUAAUCGGAAUUACUGGGCGUAAAGCGUGCGCAGGCGGUGAGCUGUGUCCGAUGUGAAAGCCCCGGGCUUAACCUGGGAAUGGCAUUGGAAACUGGCUCGCUGGAGUGUGGCAGAGGGGGGUGGAAUUCCGCGUGUAGCAGUGAAAUGCGUAGAGAUGCGGAGGAACACCGAUGGCGAAGGCAGCCCCCCUGGGCUAACACUGACGCUCAGGCACGAAAGCGUGGGGAGCAAACAGG